UACGGAGGAUGCAAGCGUUAUCCGGAUUCAUUGGGUUUAAAGGGUGCGCAGGCGGGGAAAUAAGUCAGUGGUGAAAAGCUGCCGCUUAACGGUAGUCUUGCCAAUGAUACUGUUUUUCUUGAGUAUGGUUAAGGUAGGCGGAAUGUGCAGUGUAGCGGUGAAAUGCAUAGAGAUUGCACAGAAGGCCGAUUGCGGAGGCAGCUUACUGAGCCAUAACUGACGCUGAGGCACGAAAGCGUGGGGAUCGAACAGGA
rnacentral:rRNA from 1 species